rnacentral:rRNA from 1 species
CACGUAGGGGGCAAGCGUUGUCCGGAUUUAUUGGGCGUAAAGAGCUCGUAGGCGGCUCGGUAAGUCGGGUGUGAAACCUCCAGCUCAACCUGGAGACGCCACUCGAUACUGCCAUGCUAGAGUCCGGUAGGGGACCACGGAAUUCCUGGUGUAGCGGUGAAAUGCGCAGAUAUCAGGAGGAACACCGGUGGCGAAGGCGGGACUCUGGGCCGAUACUGACGCUGAGGAGCGAAAGCGUGGGGAGCGAACAGG